CCUACGGGAGGCAGCAGUGAGGAAUAUUGGUCAAUGGACGAGAGUCUGAACCAGCCAAGUAGCGUGAAGGAUGACUGCCCUAUGGGUUGUAAACUUCUUUUAUAUGGGAAUAAAAUGUUCCACGUGUGGGAUUUUGUAUGUACCAUAUGCAUAAGGAUCGGGUAACCCCGUGCCAGCAGCCGCGGGAAUACGGCGGCAUCGAGGGUUAUCCGGAUUUAUUGGGUUUAAAGGGAGCGUAGGUGGAUUGUGAAGUCAGUUGUGAAAGUUUUCAGCUCAACCCUAAAAUUGCAGUUGAAACUGGCAGUCUUGAGUACAGUAGAGGUAGGCGGAAUUCGUGGUGUAGCGGUGAAAUGCAUAGAUAUCACGAAGAACUCCGAUUGCGAAGGCAGCUCACUGGACUGCAACUGACACUGAGGCUCGAAAGUGUGGGUAUCGAACAGGAUUAGAUACCCGGGUAGUC
rnacentral:rRNA from 1 species